UAAACGACUCUCGGCAACGGAUAUCUCGGCUCACGCAUCGAUGAAGAACGUAGCAAAAUGCGAUACUUGGUGUGAAUUGCAGAAUCCCGUGAACCAUCGAGUUUUUGAACGCAAGUUGCGCCCAAAGCCAUCCGGUUGAGGGCACGCCUGCCUGGGCGUCACGC
rnacentral:rRNA from 1 species